rnacentral:rRNA from 1 species
CCUACGGGAGGCUGCAGUGGGGAAUAUUGCACAAUGGGGGGAACCCUGAUGCAGCGACGCCGCGUGGGUGAGGAAGUACUUCGGUAUGUAAAGCCCUAUCAGCAGGGAAGAAAAUGACGGUACCUGACUAAGCAGCCCCGGCUAACUACGUGCCAGCAGCCGCGGUAAUACGUAGGGGGCAAGCGUUAUCCGGAUUUACUGGGUGUAAAGGGAGCGUAGACGGCGGGCCAAGUCUGGUGUGAAAGGCCGGGGCUCAACCCCGGGACUGCAUUGGAAACUGGCAUGCUGGAGUGCCGGAGGGGCAAGCGGAAUUCCUAGUGUAGCGGUGAAAUGCGUAGAUAUCGAGAGGAACACUCGUGGCGAAGGCGGGUUACUGGACAUUAACUGACGCUGAGGCACGAAGGCCAGGGGAGCGAAAGGGAUUAGAUACCCUGGUAGUC